CUAGUGACUGGGGUGAAGUCGUAACAAGGUAGCCGUACUGGAAGGUGCGGCUGGAUCACCUCCUU
rnacentral:rRNA from 15 species